UACGGGGGGGGCAAGCGUUGUUCGGAAUUACUGGGCGUAAAGGGCGCGUAGGCGGCCAUCUAAGUCAGACGUGAAAUCCCUCGGCUCAACCGAGGAACUGCGUCUGAUACUGGAAGGCUUGAAUCCGGGAGAGGGAUGUGGAAUUCCAGGUGUAGCGGUGAAAUGCGUAGAUAUCUGGAGGAACACCGGUGGCGAAGGCGGUUCUCUGGGACGGUACUGACGCUGAGACGCGAAAGCGUGGGGAGCGAACAGG
rnacentral:rRNA from 1 species